GACGAACGCUGGCGGCGUGCUUAACACAUGCAAGUCGAACGAUGAAGCUCCAGCUUGCUGGAGUGGAUUAGUGGCGAACGGGUGAGUAACACGUGAGUAACCUGCCCCUCACUCUGGGAUAAGCGCUGGAAACGGCGUCUAAUACCGGAUAUGACGAUUGGCCGCAUGGUCAGAUCGUGGAAAGUUUUUCGGUGGGGGAUGGACUCGCGGCCUAUCAGCUUGUUGGUGGGGUAAUGGCCUACCAAGGCGACGACGGGUAGCCGGCCUGAGAGGGCGACCGGCCACACUGGGACUGAGACACGGCCCAGACUCCUACGGGAGGCAGCAGUGGGGAAUAUUGCACAAUGGGCGAAAGCCUGAUGCAGCGACGCCGCGUGGGGGAUGACGGCCUUCGGGUUGUAAACCUCUUUCAGUUGGGACGAAGCUCUUCGGAGUGACGGUACCCUCAGAAGAAGCACCGGCUAACUACGUGCCAGCAGCCGCGGUAAAAC
rnacentral:rRNA from 1 species